rnacentral:lncRNA from 1 species
ACAAAAAUUGCGAUAUUUCGUCUUUUAAAAUGAAAAAAUAAAUAAAUUCAAAGAAGAUUUGGACAAAUUACUGGCCCUCCUUAGAACUCAACUCUUCCUUUAAGGGAGCAUAAUUAUUUCGUAGGCCUGUGAACAUUUUAAGGGAGCAUAAAUAUAUCGUAUAGGCCUGUGAACAUUUAAUCAAGAAUUAAGAAUGUUUUAAUUUUAUCUUUAAAUGAAAUGACUAUCGAUUUUGAAUAUUUCAAGUAAAAAAGUAUGUAAUUAGCAAAAGAAUUAGCUUACUACUAUAGUGUUAUAGUGACUAGAACUUAUCCAAUUGGAUGUAAUUGUAACAAUUUUCCCCAUAAUAAAUACAAAGGUGAAAGGGUACUCUUCAAAAAUGUUGAAUCAUAAUGAAACACAACUAAAUGUGUGCUGCCAUCUAGUGGUAGAAAGCGAAUAGGCCAACCGGUAGUUUAUUUUCAAAUUCAAAUCUGCACUCAGACUCUGUGAUGAUCAGCUCAACGGCGCAUAUUUCAAUCAUUACUUUGCCAUUUCGCCAGACUUGUCUUCCUGUAAAACCCACAGUAUGGGUAAUAAGGGGUAGAUUUACACCAGGAAAGGACAAUUUCAAGAGUAAUUCCAGGGCAAGACUUGAAAGAACAAAAUGAAGGAUCGAAUUUAUUACCAAGAUUAGGCCUACAGUCCCACACUAGCACUCUUGUGUUGGAGAAAUACGAUCAACUUGCUUUGCACUACAUGCACUGGACUGCUACUGCUAGCUGCUGGAGCUACUUUAAAGAUCUUCAUUUUGAAGGGUAUCUUAGCUUCGGCUGCUGGAAAGUCAUCAACUUGGACUGUGUGGCACUGGCACCCUUGUCUUCUAGAGUACAUGUACAUACAGUCUUAAUUUGUUAGACUGAACUGUCCAACACACAUCUAGGAAAUGCAAGACAUGGGUGAAAGUAUUAGAAUCAUACAUGGUUAAUGACUUAUUGUUCAUCUGUAAUUAAUGGAAAGCAUUUCAAAAUGAUGCCAAUAAUGCCGUCCAACAAACAUUCAGCAAGUACUUCCAGGUUGCCUCGCCCUGUCACAAUCAAACAUGUGUUCGCGGUCGGAAUGAAUCUGAGACAUAAAUCUUCAAUACACAGCUUAAUUUUUACCAAGGCAAUCUUAACAAACACAAAUUGAAUUACCUCACGGCGUAAUUACAUAUAUACAUGUAUUGAUGUAUAUAUAUAUAUAUAUAUUCUAUAUCUGCGUAUGAAUAUUUUUGUAUAACUUUGUUUCACUAUACUCUUUGCCAUGUCAGCUCACGUGUACUAUGUAGUUGAUGCCAGUAUUAUGUAACACUUUAUAGAUGUGUAUUCAUGUAACAGUAAUAAAGCUUUGUCUUAGUAUUCAUUUAACGUUUUAAAGACAUCUGAAGACUAUUCAUGUUUGACAUCCUUAUGACACUUGACAGAUAGACCAAGUUGCCAGUGCUAUUAACACUUUUUACAUUGUUAUAGAUGUGAACUAUACCUUUGCCUUCACAUGUUUUCAUUUAUAGACAUUUUUAAAGAUUUUGUUUAGACUGUUGAAACUUGCCAGAUAGCCUUGCUACUUGUAUCAUGUAACACUUUAUAGUCAUGUAUAAGCUGUUCAAUACUGGUUCACAUCCUGUAUAUAUGCUAGUAUUUUAUUAGCCAAAAAUGUGAAAAUUCAUUUUUUUUUUUAAAUUCUAAUAUCUUACAUUCAGAUUAGAUUUACAUUAUAAUAGUUUCGUUUACACAACUAAUACAUAUAUAUAUAUGUGAACCCAAUAUCUGCAAUUUUUACCAGUGAUUAUAUAGGGAACAAUUUAAUGAAGAAGAAAAAGAUAUAUUUUUUUUCUUUCUUGCGUUUAUGUUUACAAAGACCUAGUACUACCUUUGCGUAAUAUUUGUAUCAUUUAUAAGACGGGUAUAUGCCAAUCGGUUUGCCAAAGAUACAUAAUAUUUACCGGCCGUUCUUACCUCUAAAUCCAAAAUUUUCUAUAUGAAAUGCUGCUCAAGUUUUGUAAGUGUGACUUUUGUAAAUAUGUUUUAAUAGUUUGUGGACUGUUUGUUUAGUAUUCUCAUUCACCAUAUGGGUGUACAUUGCAUGUGAUAUUUUAUGUAAUAAAGUGUUCUAACGUUUCAAACUGAAA